UAGGGAAUCUUCCACAAUGGGACGAAAAGUCUGAUGGAGCAACGCCGCGUGAGUGAAGAAGGGUUUCGGCUCGUAAAACUCUGUUGUUAAAGGAGAACAUAUCUGAGAGUAACUGUUCAGGUAUUGACGGUAUUUAACCAGAAAGCCACGGCUAACUACGUGCCAA
rnacentral:rRNA from 1 species